GAUGAACGCUGGCGGCGUGCCUAAUACAUGCAAGUCGAGCGAACAGACGAGGAGCUUGCUCCUCUGACGUUAGCGGCGGACGGGUGAGUAACACGUGGAUAACCUACCUAUAAGACUGGGAUAACUUCGGGAAACCGGAGCUAAUACCGGAUAAUAUAUUGAACCGCAUGGUUCAAUAGUGAAAGACGGUUUUGCUGUCACUUAUAGAUGGAUCCGCGCCGCAUUAGCUAGUUGGUAAGGUAACGGCUUACCAAGGCAACGAUGCGUAGCCGACCUGAGAGGGUGAUCGGCCACACUGGAACUGAGACACGGUCCAGACUCCUACGGGAGGCAGCAGUAGGGAAUCUUCCGCAAUGGGCGAAAGCUUGACGGAGCAACGCCGCGUGAGUGAUGAAGGUCUUCGGAUCGUAAAGCUCUGUUAUUAGGGAAGAACAAAUGUGUAAGUAACUAUGCACGUCUUGACGGUACCUAAUCAGAAAGCCACGGCUAACUACGU
rnacentral:rRNA from 1 species